CUCAGCUGUUGCCUAGGUGCUCGGUCCUUCUGAGGAGGCUAAGGCCAUGUUGGGGUGAGGCCCUCACUCAUCUGGCAACUAACACUGUGCCCGGCAGCACCCACCUGGAACUCUCCCAAGCCAUGGCCUCGGUCUCCGAGCUCACCUGCAUCUACUCGGCCCUGAUCCUGCACGACGAUGAGGUGACGGUCACAGAGGAUAAGAUCAAUGCCCUCAUUAAAGCAGCUGGUGUAAAUGUUGAACUUUUCUGGCCAGGUUUGUUUACAAAGGCUCUGGCCAACAUCAACAUUGGGAGCCUUCUCUGCAAUGCAGGGGCUGGUGGACCUGCCCCAGUAGCUGGUACUGCACCAGCAGGAGGUCAUGACCCCUCUCCCACUGCUGCCCCAGCUGAGGAGAAGAAAGUGGAAGCAAAGAAAGAAGAAUCUGAGGAGUCUGAUGAUGACAUGGGCUUUGCUCUUUUUGACUAAACCUCUUUAUUAACACAUUCAAUAAAAAGCUGAGCUCUUAA